GUGAUUCACGCAAAUAAUGGCCACGCGGCCAUUCAAUUGGCCGAAUGGCCAAGGCUCCGGGGAGGCUUUUUUCUUCCAAUUUCCAACUUCCUUCUUUGGGUUUUCAUGGGAAACCCAUAAUCCACGAAGAUCCAACGGUCUAAACUCAAAUCCGAUUUCUAAAACAUGAUCUACGAAGUCCGAUCUACGUUUCUACCGAUUAUUUUGAGGUAUUGUGCUACUUGGAGCUUGCUUGUGGUUCCCCAAACUUCAUAUAUUAUUUGGGUGAAUUUUGUAUUUUGCAGGUCAUUGAGAUAAAACAAUAGGUUUAUGGUGAAAGAAAGCACACUUUGAGAAGACCUAGAUAAUGUAGUAUGUUCAACCACAUCAAGGAGAGGACUAAAUCGGAAUUUCUCUAAUUGGAGUCAAAAUCGGAUUAGAAUUCAGAUUCUGCACAUGUCAUAGUAUUUUGACCAUAACUUUCAGCUCAAAUAUCCUAUUAAGGUUAAUCAAGCGGCUUUGGAAAGCUAACUCAAUUUUCUACAAAUCCUUAUGAAAUAGGAUUUUCCUAAUUCGGACGUCUACUAUGCCAAAGUAUCCCGCAAUAAAAGGCCGCAAAUUUGGACGGAUUUGGAGUCAUUUUCCUUCUUGGAUUGAGUUUUGAGUCUCCUACUCAAACUAGGAGACUAACCUCCGAUUUUUCUAGGAAUUCUAGGGCUUCUAAGAUUUGUUUUCUCCCUAUAAAUAGACCUCUAAGCCUCAAGAUAAAAAGGGGGUGAAGCUAGAGUUCAAAUAUAUUUUCUUCUUUUUAGUUUUUCUUUAAGGUAGGUUUUAUUUUCAAUAGCCAUGUGUAGCUAAUUUUUCAACUAAGGUUGAGGAUGAAGCCUCACCAUUGAAGAGCAACAAUAUUUUCAUGAUCCGAUCGAGCUUUAAACAAGUUGAGCUUGUAAGCCCCUAUCGAGUUUUGUUGAGCGAGUCAGGUAUGUAUCACUUACUAAUCGAGCGGGUUUCUACAGUAAUGAGUGAGUUUCUACAGUAUUGAGCUCAAGUUCAGAUCGGCCUAAACCAAGCAGGUAUCGAGCGGGUUGUCGAACGGACUGAUAUAUUUACAUUCCUACAGUGAGCAGUUGAAGAGAGUUGCUAAAGAGAAGAGGGAAAGUUUGAAAUUCUGUUGUACAAAUUGUUGUGAGGACUUCUAUGAGAAUGUGGUAUUAAAAGGGCUUAACCUGGCAUGGGAGCAAAUCAAACGCUGUCGUAAAUGGUGCAAAGGAGGUAACUGUAGUACUAUUAGUUGCAGAGUCCAUGAUUACCAAUAUUGGAUCUGGUAUCGAUUCUUGUGAUCCUAUAAUAUUUCCUUAAUAUAGCCCAUAAUCAAACAAAAAAUUGCAUAUUUUGCAAUCUUCUUAUUUUAGGGAAUAUUAUGUAAU